rnacentral:snoRNA from 15 species
UGGCUCGGUUUCCUGGGCGGUGGGCUCAGCCUCCUCCACCUCCCCUCAGACGAGCCUAGAGGAGAGAGGCCAGGCUUCCUCCCCUGGGAGUGGCUUUCAAGAAGGGAGCCUCGCCCAGGCUGUCCUAGCCUCACACUU